rnacentral:lncRNA from 1 species
ACUAAGUAAAGAAGUUUAUGCAUUUAAAAUUACGGGUACAUACAUAAUUAAUAUGAAAUAAGAAUAAGAGGUGAUAAGAAUUUGCUAAUUUGUAAACAUCAACUAGAAUAACCCAAAAUUCGGUAUCACGAGUGCACGUGCAUUUAGUAAGGAGUAUGGUAAUAAUGCAACAUUUGUUUGGAAUGUAAAUUAUACAGGAUAAAUUAAUAGUACGAUGGAGACUUUGUGCUUUAUGGUACGUUGUCGGAAUGCAUCUCACUGUAAAGUCUCCUCAGCAGCUGCCUCUACAUGCCAAGAUGACCACCAAAUGAAC